rnacentral:sRNA from 1 species
UGAUCGAUGGAGUAAAGUAUUGAUCAAA